CAGCCUUUUAUGCCUUGCCUUCAAGGAUUGUUCAGGACUGGAGUCUGCUUCCAAACUUCUGACCAUCAUUGGACCUUUUCUGGAGAGAAGACAGAUCAGACAAAUCUUCAGCCCUAAUCUCGUUUUACUUCAGCAAUAUUUUAGAGAAGAGCUGGAGAAGUGUAAAACUCUGUUUAAAAGCUGGACUCACCAGGUAGAAAGUGGAGGAAUUAAGAAUAUGGCUCACACUUCUGGAGCUCUAAAGUGGACAAAAAUGCUUAGAAAACGUAUUCAGACCCCUUGGGAAAAAAUAAAACAAUUUUUUGAGAUGUAAGUAAAAACACUUGAUUAAUAGCAUUGGAUUAUGACGUAAUGGUAGGUUUUCAAGAGAUGAACUUAAAGAAACAAAGGACAUGGCUGAAAAAUACGUGAGGAUGGUGCAGAUUACAUGAAAGCAAGACAAUGAUACAGUACAGUGCAUAUAUUGGCUAAGGUUGUGGGUAGACUACAUCAAGCAAAACAUCUUUAGGCAGAUAGCAUAGAUAGCAGGUGAAGAAAAACCUAGAGAGGUGGUAUAAAGAAAUGAAAUUAGAUUCUGAGCAAGCAAGAAAAAAAAUCCAUGCAUUAGGAUAAAAAUGAGCGAGAAAACAAUAAUGCAACAAGUGGAGAAGUAGACAUGGUCAAAUGCCAGUCAACGAUUGAAACUGUGGACACUGAAAGAGGUAAAAGGAGGUAGGUUGGAGAGGGUGGAGACAAGUGUCAGAUGUGAUGCGUGGAUGCGGGAUAGUGGCGUGAUUGAUAGAAAAGGUUUACUAGACAAUUGUGACACCAGCUGUGAUGGUUGGAUGAUACGUUUUGUAGACAUUUGGACUGUUUUAAUGACAGGAAACAGAGCUGGAGGUAGAAUAUGCUGCAAUUUCUUUAGAGAGUGACAGUGAUGGAGGUUAUAAAAUUAGCCUGUCAGAGAGAAAGUUCAGAAAAAAAAGUUAGAUAGCCCAUGUGAAGAUGGUUUGGAUGUGUGCUGGGGACUGACAGGGCACGUGUUAAACAAAGGAUGUGGAAUUCAUCUGUAAAGAUUUACUGGAGUCAAGGCUUGAUGGUUAGUUUUAGCCGAAGAACACAUGAAUAGGAUGAGGUGAAAUCAGAUGAUUUGAACACU